rnacentral:rRNA from 1 species
GAUGAACGCUGGCGGCGUGCCUAAUACAUGCAAGUCGAGCGAACAGACGAGGAGCUUGCUCCUCUGACGUUAGCGGCGGACGGGUGAGUAACACGUGGAUAACCUACCUAUAAGACUGGGAUAACUUCGGGAAACCGGAGCUAAUACCGGAGAAUAUAUUGAACCGCAUGGUUCAAUAGUGAAAGACGGUUUUGCUGUCACUUAUAGAUGGAUCCGCGCCGCAUUAGCUAGUUGGUAAGGUAACGGCUUACCAAGGCAACGAUGCGUAGACGACGUGAGAGGGUGAUAGGCCACCCUGGAACUGAGACACGGACCAGACUACUACGGGAGGCCGCAGUAGGGAAUCUGCCGCAAUGGGCGAAAGCAUGACGGAGCAACGCCGCGCGAGUGAUGAAGGUGCUCGGAGCGUAAAACCCUGUUAUGAGGGAAGAACCAAUGUGUAAGUAAAUAUGCACGUCUUGACGGUAACUAGUCAGAAAGCCACGGCUAACUACGUG